rnacentral:rRNA from 1 species
AUUCCUACGGGGGGCAGCAGUCGGGAAUAUUGCGCAAUGGAGGAAACUCUGACGCAGUGACGCCGCGUGCAGGAAGAAGGUUUUCGGAUUGUAAACUGCUUUCGACAGGGAAGAAACAAGACAGUACCUGUAGAAUAAGCUCCGGCUAACUACGUGCCAGCAGCCGCGGUAAUACGUAGGGAGCAAGCGUUAUCCGGAUUUAUUGGGUGUAAAGGGUGCGUAGACGGGAAGUCAAGUUAGUUGUGAAAUCCCUCGGCUUAACUGAGUAACUGCACCUAAAACUAACUUUCUUGAGUGCUGGAGAG